rnacentral:misc_RNA from 1 species
GAAAAAAAAAUAAAAUUAAAAAUUCAAUAUACCAAGAGAAAUACAAUUUUUUUUUAUGGAUCCUGUGGAAGAAGAAGAGAAAAUAGAGAACCUAGCUCCUGCAACGAGUAAUAGCACUGCAUCCACGAGUGUAGGGAUUUGCUUGAGCUCCAGGUUUGCAGUUGUAGUAGGAAGCUCCACGGCGAGAACACGGCACACUGUUCUUCUGGAGUGCACCAUAGCUGAUGUACUUUUUGGUUGCUAAAAUACGCCUGUUUGACUCACUGUCAAGGGCAAACUCAUCUUCUUCAGCCAUGCACUCUGCAAUACUCCCCUUGCAUUCACCGGAUCUCGCCGGCACCAUCCAAUCGUAGCUACCACUGUCGCCGGCGGCAGCCAUGGAAAUGAAAAAAGCUCCAACAAGAACACAAACAAUCAAAUACGAAGAAACUCCCAUUUUUUUUUCCUUGAAUUGAAAAAAAAAUGAAAGAGAAAUUAAAGCAACCUUUAGCUAAUUCUUCUGGUUUAUGAUUCGGACGGCUAGUUUUGCCGUAUUUUCGAUGUUGAAAAUUUGUUAGUUUCUGCAAAUUGUGAAGAAGACAAGUUAUAAUGGGCAAGGCCAGUUGUAUUAUAAGUAGAGGUGGUUGUUUAUUUACCCCUAAUACUUUACUUUAU